UUUUGGAUUGAUUUGUGCUAC
ensembl:piRNA 21ur-11840 ncRNA